rnacentral:rRNA from 1 species
AGAGUUUGAUCAUGGCUCAGGACGAACGCUGGCGGCGUGCCUAAUACAUGCAAGUCGAACGCUUCUGCUUUAACUGAUGCUUGCAUCGACCUAAGUUAGAAGAGUGGCGAACGGGUGAGUAACACGUGGGUAACCUGCCCAUCAGAGGGGGAUAACACUUGGAAACAGGUGCUAAUACCGCAUAACACUAAAAACCGCAUGGUUUUUGGUUGAAAGGCGCUUCUGGUGUCGCUGAUGGAUGGACCCGCGGUGCAUUAGCUAGUCGGUGGGGUAACGGCCUACCGAGGCAAUGAUGCAUAGCCGACCUGAGAGGGUGAUCGGCCACAUUGGGACUGAGACACGGCCCAAACUCCUACGGGAGGCAGCAGUAGGGAAUCUUCGGCAAUGGACGCAAGUCUGACCGAGCAACGCCGCGUGAGUGAUGAAGGUUUUCGGAUCGUAAAACUCUGUUGUUAGAGAAGAACAAGAGAAGUAGUAACUGGCUUCUCCUUGACGGUAUCUAACCAGAAAGCCACGGCUAACUACGUGCCAGCAGCCGCGGUAAUACGUAGGUGGCAAGCGUUGUCCGGAUUUAUUGGGCGUAAAGCGAGCGCAGGCGGUCUUUUAAGUCUGAUGUGAAAGCCCACGGCUUAACCGUGGAGGGUCAUUGGAAACUGGGAGACUUGAGUGCAGAAGAGGAAAGUGGAACUCCAUGUGUAGCGGUGGAAUGCGUAGAUAUAUGGAAGAACACCAGUGGCGAAGGCGGCUUUCUGGUCUGUAACUGACGCUGAGGCUCGAAAGCGUGGGGAGCAAACAGGAUUAGAUACCCUGGUAGU